rnacentral:rRNA from 1 species
GAUGAACGCUGGCGGCGUGCCUAAUACAUGCAAGUCGAGCGAAUGGAUUAAGAGCUUGCUCUUAUGAAGUUAGCGGCGGACGGGUGAGUAACACGUGGGUAACCUGCCCAUAAGACUGGGAUAACUCCGGGAAACCGGGGCUAAUACCGGAUAACAUCUUGAACCGCAUGGUUCGAAAUUGAAAGGCGGCUUCGGCUGUCCCUUAUGGAUGGACCCGCGUCGCAUUAGCUAGUUGGGGAGGUAACGGCUCACCAAGGCAACGAUGCGUAGCCGACCUGAGAGGGUGAUCGGCCACACUGGGACUGAGACACGGCCCAGACUCCUACGGGAGGCAGCAGUAGGGAAUCUUCCGCAAUGGACGAAAGUCUGACGGAGCAACGCCGCGUGAGUGAUGAAGGCUUUCGGGUCAUAAAACUCUGUUGUUAGGGAAGAACAAGUGCUAGUUGAAUAAGCUGGCACCUUGACGGUACCUAACCAGAAAGCCACGGCUAACUACGUGCCAGCCGCCGCAGUAA